CCGUUCUCAACGGGGUGCUGAUCCACUGAUUUUGCGCAGGCAAGUUCGGUCUGAGGCUGAGAAAAAACCCGUCGAACCUGAUCCGGUUAAUACCGGCGAAGGGAUUUGAGAGUGCAUUUUGC
rfam:Serratia sp. M24T3 contig01, whole genome shotgun sequence.